UACGUAGGGUGCGAGCGUUAUCCGGAUUCACUGGGUUUAAAGGGUGCGUAGGUGGGCAGGUAAGUCAGUGGUGAAAUCUCCGGGCUUAACCCGGAAACUGCCAUUGAUACUAUCAGUCUUGAAUACCGUGGAGGUAAGCGGAAUAUGUCAUGUAGCGGUGAAAUGCUUAGAUAUGACAUAGAACACCAAUUGCGAAGGCAGCUUACUACACAGUUAUUGACGCUGAGGCACGAAAGCGUGGGGAUCAAACAGG
rnacentral:rRNA from 1 species